rnacentral:rRNA from 1 species
UACGGGGGGGUAAGCGUUGUUCGGAAUUCCUGGGCGUAAAGUGUGCGCAGGCGGCCGAGCAAGUCGAGUGUGAAAGCCCCGGGCUUAACUUGGGAAUUGCGCUCGAAACUACUUGGCUGGAGUGUGGCAGAGGAAGGUGGAAUUCCAGGUGUAGCGGUGAAAUGCGUAGAGAUCUGGAGGAACACCGAUGGCGAAGGCAGCCUUCUGGGCCAACACUGACGCUGAGGCGCGAAAGCGUGGGGAGCAAACAGG